CUCGUGGUUCGGAAAAGAGAAUUCUGUCAUGGCGGCCUGACAUUUGUGCAGGAUACAUCUUAAGGCUUUAGGCAUGGGUUGUCUCACUCUGUUUCACCUACACUACAGUCUACAUAGCUUGCAUAGCUACACAGCUACACAGCUACAUUAUGUUCGUAACUACUUUGUACAUAUAUAUGAAACCUUUGGAGGUCUGUACCAGAUCAUUGGAAUAAAGUUUGGACAUUGGU